GGGAUCGAAGAUGAUUAGAUACCAUCGUAGUCUUAACCGUAAACUAUGCCGACUUGCGAUUGUCCGAUGUUUAUUAUAGACUUGGGCAGCAGCACAUGAGAAAUCAAAGUUUUUGGGUUCCGGGGGGAGUAUGGUCGCAAGGCUGAAACUUAAAGGAAUUGACGGAAGGGCACACCAGGAGUGGAGCCUGCGGCUUAAUUUGACUCAACACGGGAAAACUUACCAGGUCCAGACAUAGGAAGGAUUGACAGAUUGAGAGCUCUUUCUUGAUUCUAUGGGUGGUGGUGCAUAGCCGUUCUUAGUUGGUGGAGUGAUUUGUCUGGUUAAUUGCGUUAACGAACGAGACCUCAGCCUACUAAAUAGUAUGUUGUUUAGUAAUAAAUGAUAUGACUUCUUAGAGGGACAUUUCGGGUUUACCGGAAGGAAGUUCGUG
rnacentral:rRNA from 1 species